CCUACGGGUGGCUGCAGUGAGGAAUAUUGGUCAAUGGACGAGAGUCUGAACCAGCCAAGUAGCGUGAAUGAUGACUGCCCUAUGGGUUGUAAACUUCUUUUAUGUGGGAAUAAAAUGUUCCACGUGUGGGAUUUUGUAUGUACCAUAUGAAUAAGGAUCGGCUAACUCCGUGCCAGCAGCCGCGGUACUACGGAGGAUCCGAGCGUUAUCCGGAUUUAUUGGGUUUAAAGGGAGCGUAGGUGGAUUGUUAAGUCAGUUGUGAAAGUUUGCGGCUCAACCGUAAAAUUGCAGUUGAAACUGGCAGGCUUGAGUACAGUAGAGGUGGGCAGAAUUCGUGGUGUAGCGGUGAAAUGCUUAGAUAUCACGAAGAACUCCGAUUGCGAAGGCAGCUCACUGGACUGAAACUGACACUGAGGUGCGAAAGUGUGGGUAGCAAACAGGAUUAGAUACCCGGGUAGUC
rnacentral:rRNA from 1 species